GGCCGCCUGGCGAAAUGGCAUCGCGUCUGACUACGAUGAUGAUUGUUAUUCAUAAUCAGGAGAUUGCAGGUUCGACCCCUGCGGUGGUCA
rnacentral:tRNA from 1 species